GCUAUAAUGAGUCUAGUAUCUAAUGUCUUAGUCCAGUAACUUUGUAAGAUUAAAAUACCAAUUUUAUUUGUGGUGCAUAAAAGAGUAUGAGUAAUGGAUAGUCUAGUUUGAGAAAAGUGCUUGGAGACUUUAAGUGUCAGCAUGUAUGCAGUGUGUAGCAGAACAGACUAAUGGACCAUGUGCCCAGAAGUAACAAUACAGCCCAAACUUCAGGUGUUGUGACAUCUUGAUGUGAGUCCAAAAAUACUGCUGGCUUCUAGCAUGUGAAGAUUACAUUUCAAGCCUUCAGUACUAUAUGAGAAACUAGUUUUCAAAAGAUUACCAAAGAUAUGCUACUAAAAAAAAUUAACGUUUUUAUCUAUUUUCUGUAUUUCUUCAAUUUUUCAUACUAGUCCAUUCUAUAGGAAGCAAUCUCAUUUGACAUGAAAUUUCAUUAUCAAUCUCAGCUUAUUAGUAGAUUCCUUUAUUGUCUGUGUUUAUUAAAAGUAACAUUCUAUUUAUUGUUUCUGAAAAAAUUUACAUCUGAAACUUUUCUGUCAGCACUACAAGAUAUUAAUUAUUGUUUUUAACCAAGCCAUUCUUGUGUCUCAAUGUGUAGUCACACUAUGUUUUCUUUUACAUCCAUUUUUUUUCUUUUUAUAUUUGAACACGGACAUUCAUAACAUACUUUUCAGCUACAUGAAAAUUCAUUGAGCUAUAUUUUCAUUAUUCAUUCAUCUAAUGGUGAGGAUCUGAUUAAACGCUCUUUUAAUAUGAAAGACCUGCUGUAAACUGAGGAUAUGCAGGGUUGAAGAUGGAGUCCAUUGGGUGAUGCCCAAGAGUGGUACAGCUAGGUCUCAUGCACCUUUCACAUUUAGCUUUAAGAGAAACCUCCAAACUAAUUUGCAAAGUGUAUUUUAGAAUAACACCAUCUGGGGUCUAACUUGAACAUUCCAUUCCCCUGCCCUGUAAAUUGGAAUUGGGGGUAAUUAAUCUAUCAGGGACAUUGUUUUCUCAAAUUUAAAUUGAGAAUGUAAAAGAAAUUUUAUUGUUAAAAAUUAUGG
rnacentral:lncRNA from 1 species